rnacentral:misc_RNA from 1 species
AGUUGCUGGUUUCCUACUCAGCAAG